CCGAGACACGCCGGCGGCGUGCCUAAGACAUGCAAGUCGAGCGGGGAGACUUCGGUCUCCCAGCGGCGGACGGGUGAGUAACGCGUGGGCAACCUGCCCUUCAGCCCGGGAUAACUGCCUGAAAGGGCGGCUAAUACCGGAUGCGGUGAAACGGACGCAUGUUGGUUUCACGAAAAUUACGGUGCUGAAGGAUGGGCCCGCGUCCCAUUAGCUGGUUGGUGAGGUAACGGCCCACCAAGGCGACGAUGGGUAGCCGGCCUGAGAGGGUGGACGACCACACUGGGACUGAGACACGGCCCAGACUCCUACGGGAGGCAGCAGUCGGGAAUCUUCCACAAUGGGCGAAAGCCUGAUGGAGCGACGCCGCGUGAGGGAAGAAGGUCUUCGGAUCGUAAACCUCUUUCAGUAGGGAAGAAGCGCAAGUGACGGUACCUACAGAAGAAGCACCGGCUAACUACGUG
rnacentral:rRNA from 1 species